GACGAACGCUGGCGGCGUGCUUAACACAUGCAAGUCGAACGGAAAGGCCCUGCUUUUGUGGGGUGCUCGAGUGGCGAACGGGUGAGUAACACGUGAGUAACCUGCCCUUGACUUUGGGAUAACUUCAGGAAACUGGGGCUAAUACCGGAUAGGAGCUCCUGCUGCAUGGUGGGGGUUGGAAAGUUUCGGCGGUUGGGGAUGGACUCGCGGCUUAUCAGCUUGUUGGUGGGGUAGUGGCUUACCAAGGCUUUGACGGGUAGCCGGCCUGAGAGGGUGACCGGCAACAUUGGGAAUGAGAUGCGGCGCAGACUCCUGCGGGAGGCAGCAGUGGGGAAUAUUGCACAAUGGGCGGAAGCCUGAUGCAGCAACGCCGCGGGCGGGAUGGCGGCCUGCGGGUUGUAAACCGCUUUCGCCUGUGACGAAGCGUGAGUGACGGUAAUGGGUAAAGAAGCACCGGCUAACUAC
rnacentral:rRNA from 1 species